rnacentral:lncRNA from 1 species
GGGCUUGGUGGCACAUGCCUGUAAUCCCAGCUACUCUGGAGGCUGAGGCAGGAGAAUUGCUUGAGCCCAGGAGGCAGAGGUUGCAGUGAGCCGAUAUCGCAUCACUACACUCCAGCCUGGGUGACAGAGUGAGAUGUGAGACUCUGUCUAAAAAAAAAAAAAAAUUGAAAUGAGAGUAAAAAUAAUAAACUUUGCAGAAAGUACAAAGAUAGCUCAGAAGAUGGAAGAUGAUUAUCCAUGUUGAGUGAGGAAGGAAAGACAGAAUGGUAAAGGAAAGCUUUGGCUAAAAGAUGGCAUAUUUGGCUGGGCACAGUAAUAUACCUGUAAUCCUGUAUGCCUGUAAUUACACCUGUAAUCCUAGCACUGUGGGAAACCGAGGUGGGAGGAUCACUUGAGGCCAGAAGUUUGAGAUCAGCCUAGGUAACAUAGCAAGGCCCUGUCUCCACAAAGAAAAAAAAAAAAUUAGUUGGGUGUGGUGGUUUAUGCCUGUAGUCCCAGCUACGUGGGAGAUUGAGGCAGGAGGGUCACUUGAGUCCACUUGAGGAGUUUAAGGUUGCAGUGAGCUAUGAUCAUGCCAUUGUAUUCAAUCCUUGGCAACAGAGCAAGACCCUGUCCCCCCCCUCAAAAAAAGUAUAUUUAAGGAGUGGGGGAAAAAAGGGGGUAAAAGAAGAAUAUGAGCUAAAACCUGAAGUCAUGAAGCUGUGUGUACUUGGAAAACUCUGACCAGUUCGUUAUUGCCAGAAUAUAAAAUCUUUUGGAAGUAAGGGACUAAAAGGCUGGAAUGUAGGCAGACUAAAUUAGGAAGAGUUCUAUAUAUCAUGCUGAGGAGCAAGAUUUUAUCUUAUGAUAGAAAGUCGGUGAAAAGUUUUAGGCAGGAGCAGGAGAUGUGAUUAGGAUCAUAUUUUACAAGGAUGACUUCGACAAUAAUAUAGGAGAUGACUUGGAGUGCGCAGAACUGGCAUUAGGGAAACCAGUUAAGAUGUUAUUACAACAGUCCAUAUGAGAGAAAAUAAAAGAUGAUGGCCUGAACUAAGGCAGUGGAAUAAGAUCUGAGAAUAGAGAACAAGUUUCAGAUAUAUUUAGGAGGUAAAAUCAGUAAUGACAGACGAGAUGUUUGGGGAGGUGAUGGUGAAAGAAGCAAUUUUUUAAUUUUUUUUCUUUUUGAUACAGUCUCCCUCUGUCACCCAGGCUGAAGUGCAGAGGCACAAUCUCAGCUCGCUGCAACCUCCACCUCCCAGGUUCAAGCACUUCUCAUCCCUCAGCCUCCCAAGUAGCUGGGAGUACAGGCGUGUGCCACCACAUCCAGCUAAUUUUUCUGUAUUUUUGGUAGAGAUGGGGUUUCGCCAUGUUGGCCAAGCUGGUCUCAAACUCUUGGCCUCAAGUGAUCUGCCAUCCUCAGCCUCCCAAAUUGCUGGGAUUACACUGCACCCGGCCGAGAAGCAAAUUUGCCUAGGUUUAUUCCUAGAUUUCAGCUGGAUAAAUGGGUGGAUGGUUAUGUCAUUAUCAAAGGAGGGAAGACAAGAGAGGAAACAGAGUUGGCAAAUUAUUUGGUUCUAGACUGAUUUUUUGAGAUGUCUGUAAGAUAUGUAGGUGAAAAUAUCCUUUACAAAUUGCAGAUUUGUAUAAUAUUUGUAUUAUAUUUGUAUAAUUUGUAUAAUAUAUAAUUUGUAUAUAUUUGUAUAAUAUUUGUAAUAUAUUUGUAUAAUAAUAUAAUAAAAUCUGGGGCUCAGUUGAAAUGUUUUGCUGAAGGUGUGAGUAGUUAUUAAAAUGGAUGAGAUAAGCCUGGAGAAGAAGAUACAGAGCUAUGCUAUACAGUGUGGUAGGCACUAGACACAUACGACCAUUUUCUUUUUUCUUUUUCUUUUUUUUUGAGAUGGAGUCUCACUCUGUCGCCCAGGCUGGAGUGCAGUGGCGCAAUCCCAGCACACUGCAACCUCCGCCUCCCGGGUUCAAGCGAUUCUCCUGCCUCAGCCUUCUUAGUAGCUGGGAUUAAAGGCACAUAGCACCACGCCCAGCUAAUUUUUGUAUUUUAGUAGAGACAGGAUUUCACCAUGUUGGCCAGGCUGGUCUUGAACUCCUGACCUCAGGUGAUCCACCUGCCUUGGCCUCCCAAAGUGCUGGGAUUACAGGCGUGAGCCACCAUGCCUGGCCUCAUUUUAUUUUUUCUAACAGCGUCAUUGAGAUAUAAUUCACAUACCAUAAAAUUCACCUAUUUAAAGUGUAUAAUUCAGAGUUCAAUCAUCACCACAAUUACUUCUAGAACAUUUUAUCAUCCCCUAAAGAAACUUUGUACCCUUUGGCAGUCACUUCCCAUUUCCCCUCAAUCCUUGAAAUAUUUUUUAAAAAUGUUUAAGGAUGUAGAUGACUUGACCCCUACCUGCAUCCCCAAUCUCAUUUCUUUUUUAUAAUUUUUAAUACCCAAGUUCUGCCUCAGGAUCUAUCCCAACCUCAUUUUAUAACACUCUGCCCCUUGUUCAUUUUACUUCAGCCACUGUGGCUUCCUUUAAGUUCUUUUUCUUUGUCUUCUCAGAGAUGUUGUUUGCUUGCUAUAUACACUAGAAAUCUCAGCUCUUAGUGUGCCUGACCAGACAUCAUCUCCACGGAAAACAUACUCCUAUUUUUAUGUACAGAAGAUCCUCUUUCAACCCUCCAACCCUACCCCAGUUGCUUUCUAGCUCAUCUUCCUGAUUUCAUUUAUAGCAUUUACCACAAUCUAAAAUUUUAUUUACUUAUUAUCUGUCUUGUUUCACAAGAACACAUGCUCAACAAAGGAACAGACUUAUGGUCACUGUUACAUCCACUGUUGAAUGUUCAGUACCUGGCUGG